ACUCGUAGCUCCAUAUAUCAAUUAUUAUACCCACGACUACCCUCUCCUCAAACACUGUGUACUUAUCUGGGCCUAGACAUUUCUUAUGGUCUCACCUUUUCGUGAGACGCAAAAAGUUAAUACAAUGGUCAAAAUCAAAACAAUCGAAUGGCAAAAAAGAAAGAAAUGAGAUAAGCAUACGAAAAUCACAUAGCGAAACUGCGUGUAGGCAAGGGAAUUGCGCCGCUGGAUGCUAUCCAAAUGUGACGUCCAACGGGCUAUAAGUGAAAUGAGUUGUGAGUUGAAGAAUAUAUACAACACCUACUACAAAUGCAUCAUUUGCAAAAGUGCUAAUAUAAUCGAACACAAAAGAAUUUUCAUAUGUACCUGUGGUAGCGAAUAGGUUUUUAGCAGUAUCGCCGGCGUUUGCAACGAGCUGCACUGCAUUGUGCAAACACUGUUUCGGCAUACGUCUAAAUGCUAUAUAGUUUGAGAGAUUCUCUUUCCAACCCAUUUUUAUUUUCAGUCUGUUUUUCUAUUGUUAUAUGUAUAUGUGAAUAUGUUUAGUAUAUAUUGUGUGUUUUCAUUUAUUAAGAAAAAGCAAUUUGAUAAGCAAAUAGGUGUACGAGUAUGUUUGUACUAUUUCGCGAAACUACUCGCUCUACACUGGGUCUUUGUUUUUUCUUUGGCGAACGGGUGUCGUUUUAACGAUGCGAUUUAUUUCCCCUUUACACAAUCGAGCACUGGCAGUAAAUGGAGCAACGGCCAUAAGCUGAUAACCCUAAACAUUUUUUCACUACACUGUUCACUAAUUCUUUGUUGAGAAUUCUUAUUCACAUCAUUUCUAAGUUUUGUAUUUAGUGGCUUUAAAAUAUUGUCCUAAUCAGUAAUUUUAAAAAUACUCACCUUGUACUUUAGGCUCGCUUGCAAGCAAAUAUAUAAGUAUGACUGCAAUUUUUUAUUACUCAUCGCUUAAAAAUCGUAUGACUAAGGCAAUAUUCGUUGGCAAAUUACCGCCUCGUCUGAAAAUUAUGAAUGAAACUAUAAACCAAGUCAAACUGAAGCUUAGGUUGUUUGCUUUAUAUACUCACUUGUAUAUGCUUUUGGAAUUUGCAUAUCGCCUUAAAUUUCAAAAUUAUGUACAUCCUAUCUAUGUAUGAUACAUUCGUUCGUGCGUCCCUUCACCCUUUGUGUGAAUAGUUUUUAUUAACAUUUGAUUAUAUUGAAGAGUUUUCGCACUUCACUUAAAUAUAUAAUAUAUUUUUAUGCUUUCAACUUACUUAUGCAGGGUAUUCUAAUAGGAACGAGUCGUCCAGGUUGUUUUGGUGGUUUGCUUUUUGUGUUAUUAACCAGUAAUUUAUGUCAAUUAACUAUGAUAGGUAACAUGAUUGAGCAGCACAUUAUUAGGAACCAUGUGAGGGCAUGAAUUUCGUUCAUACCUGACCAACAGCUUGUUUUAUACCAUUUCGAACGGGUCUUAUUGGAAAAAUCUACGUAUUUUUAUGGCUCUAAAAUGUUUUGAUGUAAGUGAGGAAUUGCAAUUGAUGGUAUUGGUGGUAAUUAGUCGAAAGCAAGUCCAGCCAUUCCGGUAAGCAGACCCUCGAGUGUCGUGUAUAAGUGUUAAGAGACAUCGACGAAGUUUUGAUUCUCAUAUACCACUACCUAAACCAUAUUGUUGUUGCAAAGAAAAAAAAAUCAGGAUAAGUGUUUGCUCGUUAAUGUUUUAACAUGGCUUGUUGAUUUGCACUUCCGUUUCGAAUUUAUUCAGUUCGUCUGGGAAGUGCAGUGUCCUCUCCCCACUGCUGUUUAAUUUCUAUAUUUUUAUUUUUUGCAUUAGAAGGAGUGUCACUAAUCUUUUAUGCUGAUGACUAUUUGAUAAUGGCGUUCAUGAAGCAUAGAGUUUGUAGCAAUUGUUCUUAUUGAUAUUAAAGCCUCGAACGAACGAGCCCCAUAUACACCUGUGGGGGAGUGAAAUCUGAGCUGUGACAUUUAACAAAAGUAAGUAUGGUGUUACUUCACUUUGGAAAAUUGGAAUUAAAGAAUGUAAGGAAAAGAUAAGCCGCAUUACGUGUAUUAGCAGAUUCGUCCCCGAGGAAAAUUUCGAUGAGAUAUACUCGAAUAUGAUUUUUGCGAAUUAUUGAAAUGCCAAAUUACGAGGCUUGGGCUGGAUUUUAAGUUGACUUCAAAACCUCGAGCAUAAUAUCUUCGCAGAAAUUAUCCAGAUAAGAGUUUUUUAUAACAGCUAAAAUAUUUGCAAGUAUUACUUUUUUUUAAACAUACAAUACAUACAAAGAAAUUUUUUUUCUUAUUCCGGAAUUACAUCGAGACCGCAAUAAGCCAGGGCUCUUCAUAUUUAUUUUUCGUAACAACAGGACAAAUACUUUUGCAAAUUUCUACCACAUUACAAAUUUUAGCAAAUCCAGCAAAUAACGAAAUCAUAGGAUUAUGUCUUACUUUAUUCAAAACGAGUGAUGUAUUAUCGAUUUUUUUUUUUAAUAAAUAAAAUACGAGGCUUAAAUAAGACAAGUGUUUUGCGUGUUCGGCGAUCUUCUGCUAUCGGCUUUUGACACUCUUGGACGCUUUGGGACGAUUGGGCUUUGAUUUCGAUGUCAUAUCUAUUGUAUAUACCCAUGAUUCGCCACCAGUUAUGACCCUUUUAAGCAAAUCUGAAUCAUCGUUGACGUCAUGCAACAACACACGCUUCAUGCCCACAAUUUCCGAUUCUGAUUCCACGAUUCUCCAUAACAAUUUUCUUCACUUUUUCAACAUUUUCAUGGGUUGUUGAUGUGCUGGGGCGUGCAGAGCGAGCGUCGUCAUUCACGUCUUCUCGACCUUCUGUGAAAAGCCUGUACCACUUGAAAAUAUUUUUUUGACUGAGAGUACUCCCACCGUAUGCCACUGUCAUCAUUUCAAGUGUAUUCGAGCAGUUAAUUCCAUUUCUUAUAGCAGAAAAUCGCCGAACACGCAAAACACUAGUCUUGUUUAUGCCUCUCACAAACAAACUAAACAUGCUGUAUUGCUAAAACCGUCUUCGAGACGAGUGUACCAACAUAGAAAAAAAUAAUACUGGUAAUUGAAAGUCGAAUGUACGUAGCCCGCGAAAUUUGAAAAUUCACCUUUUUUUUAGCAAAUCUCGUACAUACAAACAACCACUGGACCAGAUGUGUAAGCAGCAGAUUUCAAAUGACAUUAAUAGAAGUUCUUCACUAAUUGUCAUCCUAUUAACACGUUCACGCCGGCGCGUACCACCGGUGGCUCGCACAAGUCUGCUUCAUGGGGCGGCGCGUACCACCGGUGGCUCGCACAAGAUUGCUUCAUGAGGCGGCGUGUACCAGCGGUGGCCCGCACAAGAUUGCUUCAUGGGACGGCGUGUACCACCAAUGGUACUUUAUUAGACGAUGUAAACGUUGCCGUCUGUGGGCGAAGACCAUGAAUAACAGCGCCGGCGGGAACGUGUUAAUGUUCUUAUUAGAGUUCAAGUGUCACUUAUUGUAUACGAAGUUUUACCUGACCAGAUCCACGGCACAAUUACGUUCUGGGUAUUGCGGCAGAUGAACGCUUCUUCUUCUUGUUUGGUGCGAUAACCGCGUACGUGAUUUUGGCCGAGUCUAACAAAGCGCGCCAAACAUUUCUUCCUCGUGCUAACUCGAGCAAUUGGAAACACCAAGUCAAGCCUACUCCUUCUCUACCUGAUCUUUCCUACGCAGAAGUCUUCCUCUACUACCACGAGCUGGUAUCGCAUCGAAUACUUUCAGAGCUGGAGCGUUUGAAACCAUUCGGACGACAUAACCUAGUCAACAAAGCCGCUGGAUCUUUAUUCGCUGCGCUAUGUCUAUGUCUUCGUAAAGCUCAUACAGCUCAUUGUUUCAUCGCCUGCGAUAAUCGCCGUUGCUAAUGAGCAACGGUCCAAAAAUCUUCCGCAGAAUCUUUCAAUUUCACUUGGUAUUGUAAUCGUCCAAGUUUCUGUGCCAUACGAUAGAACGGGCAUAAUAAACGCCUUAUAAAGUGAUAAUUUUGUUCGUCGAGGGAGAACUUUACUGCUCAAUUUCUUACCUAGUCCAAAGCAGCAUUUGUUGGCAAGUGAGAUUUUCCGUUCAGUUCCAAGGGUGACAUUAUUAUCGGUGUUAAUGCUGGUUCCUAGAUUAACGAAGUCUCUUACAACUGCAAAACUGUCAAGCGUGACGUGGGUGCCAAUUCGCGAGUGCGCCGAUUGCUCAUUUGAUGACAAGAGGUACUUCGUUCACCAGCAUACCCAUUCGCUUUGCUUCUUUAUCCAAUUUGGAACAGCGCGGUUGUGAAGGCCGAUGAUGCCAAUAUCAUCGGCAAACACCAACAAUUGUACGCUCUUAUAAAAAACAGAUACAACUCUUACCUAUCCUAAAUUGACCCGACUUAUUCUACAUUUGCACUGAAUGAGAAAAGCACCCGGCAUUUCAUUAAUCGAGUCUUCACUCGCCCCGUAAAACUAACUUUUCAAACACCUCUUUCCUUUCGUUCGCCCACUUUAGAAUUAGAAAGUUGUCUUGGCCUGUCGUAAAAUGAACCAAAAUUAAUAAGCUAACUGAUCCCCAUCAGUGGAAAUUACAAGGUGGCAGAAAAUUAACUCGGCAGCUUUGUUUUUGAAUAGGUUUUUUAAUAAAUAAAAAACGAGAAGAUUUUAAGUGAGGGAAAUCUUUAUUUUGACUUUUACGCGCUCCAUUGCUUGUCUGUUUUGAUACUGCAGCCAUUUGCAAGAAUUAUGAAUUUUCCGAUAGGGUGAUUAAUUUUGCGCCACCUUGUAUUGCCCUUAAUUUACAACUACAAUUAACACUAAACCUACCAUGACGGGUCAAAUGACCCAUUUUAAACUUGUUUUCAGAAGAUUUUGGAAAUAACAUUAUUAAAUCGCCGUUUUCUUUCACGACUUUUAUUAAAAAAUACAUCGAAUGUAUUUUUCAAAAUUUACUCCUCUCUUGCUAAUUGUUUUACCGAGAAAUAUAUGUGAUCUGCUCUAACUACCGUAACGGGUCAUUUGACCCAUGCACAGAUUGUGUCUCUUGAUUGAGCCGUUUUUCCUAUUACGUGUUAUAUUUCGCUCCAUUGAGUUAUAUUUAUUGCAGACUGACGGAUGAAUAGCCAAUUUCGUUCUACUACAAGCGAGCGUUACAGUAAAAAUUUCAAGUUAUAGUGCUAUUUUGUGAAUCAAAAAUUCUUAUUUGAUAAUUUUACAUAUAAUUCUUAUCCCAAAAUUGUCAAAACAUUCAAGAUAUUUGAAAUCAUUGGAAGUUAUAAAUAACAUAGAUGAAGAGUGUUCGGAAUUCAGUGAGGAGCAUCUGUCUGAAAGUAAAGUAGAUAACAUAGUACAAUAUAAUAAUUCAUUUGACAGUACAGAUGAAUGUGAGUCCUCAGGUAAAGAAAGCGAAGACGAGAAAAAUACCGUUAUCGAGUUCAGAAAGUGAAAAAUAUGUGGAAGACCGAUGUACUGAAAUUGCGCCUGAUGGUACAAUUUGGCAAGAAAUAGAACAAAGCGCAACACCUGGACGUUCUCCAAUUUAUAAUAUUUUUAGGGAGGUUGUAGGCCCGACAGCGUAUGCCAAACGCAAUAUAAGAAGAAGUAAGAACUGUAUUUUCUUUGAUUAUUGUCAAUCGUGUAAUGGAGCACAUAAGAAAAUGCACAGAAGAAGAAGCCUCUUGAGUAUUGGGAGCUCAAUGGAAUUUUACUCCUGCAAAAGUGAAUGUAUUUAUUGGUCUUCUAUGUAUAUGCACGUGGCUUAUAUCAGGCAAAAAAUUUGAACAUUUCAUAUCUAUCACUAAAUGGGGUCUAGCCAGCAACGAAGCCAGCGUUUACAAAAUGGUAAAUUCGCUCUAAUCUCAGAAGUAUGGUACAAAUUCAUCAAGAAUAGCCAAAAUUGUUAGAAGCCUGUGUAACAUGUAACUAUCGAUGAACAGCUCUUCGAAAACAAAGUAGAUUUACACAAUAUAUGCCGAACAAACCGAAUAAGUUUGGUAUCAAAUUUUGGCUAGCAUCUGAUGUCAGCACUAAAUACAUCAUAAAUGGAUUUUCAUAUUUGGAAAAUACAUCAUAAAUGGAUUUUCAUAUUUGGAUUUUCAUAUUUGCUUCAACUCCGCUUGCGAAAUUCGUUGUUCUCAAACUAAUGGAACCGUUCACAGGAUGCGAAAGAAGCGUCACUACAGAUAAUUUCUUUACAAGCGCUUCACUCGCUACGAAACUAUUAGAAAAGAGAACCACUCUUUUGGAAACGAUUCGCGGAAGCAUAAGAGAACUGCCCAAAUUAGCCAAGUAGAAGAAAGAUGGUGCGCCACGCUUCUCAACAAAACUAUAUAGGUAAAUCCAAGAAUGAUAUAAACAAGAUUGCGCCCAUCAGAGCGUACGUGUCGUCACGUUUGCUGAGUUGUGCAGUAUUGCCAACCAUUUGCUCUUCGCAAUAAAUUUAGUGCUUUUUUAUACCGAAAAUGCGAAAAUUUUGAAGUUUCGUGUUUGUUUCUUUUUGCGUUUAAUUUAAAGCUACCGAAUGCUUCAAUGCUAUCACUAGUAAAAUGCUUCAUACAUAUAAAGCUCGUUUUUCGAUUGAAGGCAUUUCCUCGCCGGCAGAAAUGCAUCCACUGUUUGCAGAGCGCCUCAUCCUUUGGAAAUAUAAUAUAAAAAAGCUUAUAUCACACGCUUUAUUGAGGUUCUUACUAGCACAAUUUUUCACUGCACAUUUCAUGUUUUCUUAUUUUUCACUUAUACGAGUACACUUUCACGAAAUAUCUUAUUUUUGCGUAAAUAUUCACUAAAACGUUUGUUACCGUUUGUUCUUAUUAACGCACAUUUCAAAUAAGAAACGAAUAUUCAUAAACAUCAACAAUAACCGCAAUCAUGGGCAAUGUGACCAGAUCUCUGAGAAGAUUUUAGUGCUAAUGAAAAGUUUUUUACUCUUAUAAAAUUUGAUCAUUUGAAAGUGCAAAUUUAAUUUUUGGCUCCAUUUAAGGUUAUGCAAAAAUAUUAUUUGCCCCGCUCCCAACUCUUCUUAAGAUUGAAAACCUUUUUACACAUUUUAAAAAGCCUUUGAAUUUAUUGAAUGCGAAUUAAAACCUUAGAGGUGUAAUUGUUUCUUCCGGUCAUAAAUCUUUAGUGAGACAUAGGACAUUAAGAGUUGUAUUCAUUGUAAAAAUAAGCCACAAACUACCAGAAAAUACUAAAGAAACCAUACUGACAUUUUUACAAAAAGAGUACCUUAUCUAGUUACAUAACUUCAAAUAUAGCAAAAAAGCCGUUCCCUUAACAAAAGAGUCUCGUUUAAGAAAAACCUCAUAAAUUAAAUUGUACAUAAGCAUGACAUAUUUAUUUAAAAAAACGCACAUUUUAAAGACAAUUUGUCACGCAUACAAAGUUCUUUAAGUGAUUCAAUAAAAAUUUGUUGGGUUAUUUUCUUUGAAUGGGCA